GACAGAGGCCUCGAGCGUUAGGCGGAAUCACUGGGCUUAAAGCGUGUGUAGGCGGGCCCGUAAGUGUCUUGUGAAAUCCCACGGCUCAACCGUGGAACUGCUGGGCAUACUGCGGGUCUUGGGCCAACUAGGGGCAGCUGGAACAAGCGGUGGAGCGGUGAAAUGCGUAGAUAUCGCUUGGAACGCCGAAGGUGAAAACAGGCUGCUGGGGUUGCGUCGACGCUGAGACACGAAAGCCAGGGGAGCAAACGGG
rnacentral:rRNA from 1 species